rnacentral:rRNA from 1 species
GACGAACGCUGGCGGCGUGCUUAACACAUGCAAGUCGAACGGAAAGGCCCUGCUUGCAGGGUGCUCGAGUGGCGAACGGGUGAGUAACACGUGGGUGAUCUGCCCCUUAUUUUGGGAUAAGCCUGGGAAACUGGGUCUAAUACUGGAUAGGACCAUGCUGUAGGUGGUGUGGUGGAAAGAUUAGUUUCGGUAAGGGAUGAGCUCGCGGCCUAUCAGCUUGUUGGUGGGGUAAUGGCCUACCAAGGCGUCGACGGGUAGCCGGCCUGAGAGGGUGGACGGCCACAUUGGGACUGAGAUACGGCCCAGACUCCUAAGGGAGGCAGCAGUGGGGAAUAUUGCACAAUGGGCGCAAGCCUGAUGCAGCGACGCCGCGUGGGGGAUGACGGCCUUCGGGUUGUAAACUCCUUUCAGCCAUGACGAAGCCCUUGUGGUGACGGUAGUGGUAGAAGAAGCACCGGCUAACUACGUG